rnacentral:rRNA from 1 species
GACGAACGCUGGCGGCGUGCUUAACACAUGCAAGUCGAACGGAAAGGCCCUGCUUUUGUGGGUUGCUCGAGUGCCGAACGGGUAGUAAAACCGGAGGAACCCUGCCCUGGCUUUUGGGUAAAUUUAAGGAACCUGGGGUAAAUACCGAAUAGGGGCCCCUCCUGCAUGGUGGGGGUUGAAAAGUUUCGGCGGUUGGGGAUGGACUCGCGGCUUAUCAGCUUGUUGGUGGGGUAGUGGCUUACCAAGGCUUUGACGGGUAGCCGGCCUGAGAGGGUGACCGGCCACAUUGGGACUGAGAUACGGCCCAGACUCCUACGGGAGGCAGCAGUGGGGAAUAUUGCACAAUGGGCGGAAGCCUGAUGCAGCAACGCCGCGUGCGGGAUGACGGCCUUCGGGUUGUAAACCGCUUUCGCCUGUGACGAAGCGUGAGUGACGGUAAUGGGUAAAGAAGCACCGGCUAACUACGUG